AAAAAGACAAACCCUGGGUUUGCGUAUCCAACUUUAACUGUCCGUCUUAUAUGAAAUAUUUUUAUAAUUCGUAUUUUCAUUGUUGUUAGAUAAUAAAACAUGAUUAAUAUUUUAUGCGUGACUUGUCUUUUUAAUUUUUUUUUUUUAAAAAAAAUUUCAAAUAAGACGAACGGUCAAACGUUGGGCAUGGAAACCAGGGUUUGUCUUUUU
rfam:Oryza sativa Japonica Group DNA, chromosome 3, cultivar: Nipponbare, complete sequence.